rnacentral:rRNA from 1 species
CCUACGGGAGGCAGCAGUAGGGAAUAUUGCUCAAUGGGGGAAACCCUGAAGCAGCAACACCGCGUGGAGGAUGACGGUUUUCGGAUUGUAAACUCCUUUUGUUAGAGAAGAUAAUGACGGUAUCUAACGAAUAAGCACCGGCUAACUCCGUACCAGCAGCCGCGGUAAUACGGAGGGUGCAAGCGUUAUUCGGAAUCACUGGGCGUAAAGGGCGCGUAGGCGGGAUAGCAAGUCAGAUGUGAAAUCCUAUGGCUUAACCAUAGAACUGCAUUUGAAACUGUUAUUCUCGAGUAUGGGAGAGGUAGGUGGAAUUCGUGGUGUAGGGGUAAAAUCCGUAGAGAUCAAGAGGAAUACUCAUUGCGAAGGCGACCUGCUAGAACAUAACUGACGCUGAUGCGCGAAAGCGUGGGGAGCAAACAGGAUUAGAUACCCGGGUAGUC